rnacentral:rRNA from 1 species
GACGAACGCUGGCGGCGUGCUUAACACAUGCAAGUCGAACGCUGAAGCUCAGCUUGCUGGGUGGAUGAGUGGCGAACGGGUGAGUAACACGUGAGUAACCUGCCCUCUUCUUUGGGAUAACGCCCGGAAACGGGUGCUAAUACUGGAUAUUCACUGAUUCUCGCAUGGGGGUUGGUGGAAAGGUUUUUUCUGGUGGGGGAUGGGCUCGCGGCCUAUCAGCUUGGUGGUGGGGUGAUGGCCUACCAAGGUGUUGACGGGUAGCCGGCCUGAGGGGGUGACCGGUCACAUUGGGACUGAGAUACGGGCCAGAGUCCUACGGGAGGCAGCAGUGGGGAAUAUUGCACAAUGGGCGAAAGCCUGAUGCAGCGGCGCCGCGUGAGGGAUGGAGGCCUUCGGGUUGGAAACCUCUUUCGCUCAUGGUCAAGCCGCAGCUUGGGGUUGUGGUGAGGGUAGUGGGUAAAGAAGCGCCGGCUAACUACGUG